UACGUAGGGUGCAAGCGUUGUCCGGAAUUAUUGGGCGUAAAGAGCUCGUAGGCGGUCUGUUGCGUCGGGCUGUGAAAACCCGGGGCUCAACUCCGGGCCUGCAGCCGAUACGGGCAGACUAGAGUUCGGCAGGGGAGACUGGAAUUCCUGGUGUAGCGGUGAAAUGCGCAGAUAUCAGGAGGAACACCGGUGGCGAAGGCGGGUCUCUGGGCCGAUACUGACGCUGGAGACGGCGAAAGCGUGGGGAGCGAACAGG
rnacentral:rRNA from 1 species